ensembl:lncRNA
GUGGCUUGCGCACCACUGCGAGGCUGGGCCCCGGCGCUGGCGGGUGGGAGCAGCCCCGAGCCAGCUCCGGCUCCUCCUAGGCUCGGCCGAGCCCCGGGGGCGUGGCCUCCGCGAGCGUCUGCCUCCGCCCGCCGCGCUCGCGCAGGCGCACUGGGGGUCCCGGUCCCGCGAGGUCCUUCGCUGGCGGGUGGGCGGGGGAAGAGUGGGCUCUGCGGGCCGGAGCUAGACGAGCAUCCACCCCUCGGACUCCCGGGAGGUGGCCCUGGGCGUCCCCUUUCUGCCACCGCCGCGGCGCCGGCUGCUUUCUGCGUAGCUGGGCAGGCCCCGGGCCCCCACACCGCCUCUCCCGGGAAUGCGGGCGCUCUGGAGCCGAGGAACGGGGGCGUCCGCAAGGAGGUCAGCUCUCCGGGGCGGAGUUCCUCGGGCGCAGCGCCCUCGCCUGGAAACCAGCCGUCGCCCCCGCAGGAGCCAGCCGGCCCGUGGACGCCCCAGAGCGCUCCUUCUCGGUGCUGCCGGUCGUCCUGCAGUUCCGCGAGGAAGGAAAGCGGAUUUGGAGGAACAGGUUUCGUGACUGUCAUCAGACUGGAAAAGGCCCCUCGAGCUGGAAGGGAGGGGACGGGGGCACCCUCAGAGUUACUGCUGGAGGCUGUGGCCAGGCCGGGCAAGGUGGUGACUCCCGCUGGCAGGCUGCAGCCCCCCCAACCCUCCCACCUGCGCCACGGGGCUCCAGGCGGGAACCCCAGUUAUGACCGGACACCAGCGCACCGCCAAGGAGACAGCCACGUGGGGACACGCCGGGCUAGCAGGGUGAGGAUUUGCCUGAGCCUGAAGGAUCCUCCCAGCACUGUCAAGCCCCAGAUUCCACCUCCCUGUGGGUGGACUGUCAGCGCAGGCCCUGACAACAGAGAAAGACACAGGACCCAGCUGGGCCAGUAGCGCCUGCAGUAGCUCCUGGUGCCACAGGAAUGGAAAUUGUGACUCAUAAUGGUCAGCCAGACAGUCAAUGAUUAUCCCCACCAGGCCCUGGUGCAUCAAGAUUUGCUA